AGUCUGUUGCACCGGAGCUGUCGGCCAUGCUGUUCCAGUUCAGGGGCUCCUGCAACAGAAAAGAUCAGCUGUUGGAGAACCCAUGGAAAGCCCUGGGGGAGAGCCAUGGCCGCAAGCUGGUAUCAAUACAUUAAACAGCUGUGCUGGAAAAGUGAAAUUGAUUCAAGGCCUUCAGUGCUCCCUGCCAAAAAAAGCCUCCUGAAAGGAUCUAUUCUGUAUUGAAUUACAGUCUGGAAAAGUUCAAUAGGUUAUUGUACAAACAGAGAGCAAAAGCUCGUCAACAAUGGAGCAAGAGUGAUUGUGAGGCUCCUUUGUGCUUGCCAGCCCCGAGCCCCUCGCAAACUCGGAUGUUAAAUCAGUUUAAUUAAAAUGGUGGGCUUCAAAUGCGUUGGGUUUUUUAAUGCAUAUCUCUAUGUGAAGACACGUGGGCUGAGCGAUGUUAACCUGCCUGCGCUCACAGCCCCUUGGACCUUUCCUCAGGACCUAAAUCAUGGAUUCAUACCACUGCUGGCCACGGUGGACAGGCGUUGGACUUGAAGGAGAGCCCCAGCCCUGCCCCAAGCAUCCCCCAUACUGAGAGCCGGGGCUGCACACUGGGUGGGCACACACAGUGCGUGGUCCCAUGGUCGGCCCCUGCUGCCAGGCUCUGGGGCAGGAUGACAGCAGUUCCCUGUGCUCUGAAAACCUCUUCUCUCUGCGGGGAGGAGGCACAGCCACAGCCCCCAGCCAACACCGAGCACUGCUCUGAGUGGAGCCGCUGCUCCGGGCAGGUGGGAGCAGCCCACAGCGCUGCGCUGCAUCACAGCUUCCGGAUCCCCCUCUCCAUCUCUAAUUAAGAUUCAAAUUGAGUAUAGAAAUUAUGUGUAAGUAAGAUGCUAAUUAUUAAAGUCAUUGAUCUC
rnacentral:lncRNA from 7 species